CAAAUGUGUGUUGUGUUGAAUGUGGUUUACUCCAACAGCAAAUAGAUGAAGAUUAAAAUAGCUAUUAAAUAUAUAAUAACAUCAAUUAACUUCAUGUCCACGUGCGCCGCGGCGCUUUCCUUUAGCACGACGAAAAAUAUAAUACGAAACAACACACAAAAUGCUAACCGGAGCUGCAAAGUCUGCAAGUCUGCACCUGUUCAG